rnacentral:rRNA from 1 species
UACGAAGGGGGCUAGCGUUGUUCGGAAUUACUGGGCGUAAAGCGCACGUAGGCGGACUUUUAAGUCAGGUGUGAAAUCCCGGGGCUCAACCUCGGAACUGCAUUUGAAACUGGAAGUCUUGAGACCAGGAGAGGUUAGCGGAAUACCGAGUGUAGAGGUGAAAUUCGUAGAUAUUCGGUGGAACUCCAGUGGCGAAGGCGGCUAACUGGACUGGUACUGACGCUGAGGUGCGAAAGUGUGGGGAGCGAACAGG